rnacentral:rRNA from 1 species
UACAGAGGGUGCAAACGUUGUUCGGAAUUACUGGGCGUAAAGCGCGUGUAGGCGGCUUGGCAAGUCGGGUGUGAAAGCCCUGGGCUCAACCUAGGAAGUGCACUCGAAACUGCUUCGCUGGAGUGUCGGAGAGGAAAGCGGAAUUCUCGGUGUAGAGGUGAAAUUCGUAGAUAUCGGGAGGAACACCAGUGGCGAAGGCGGCAGCCUGGACCGAUACUGACGCUGAGGUGCGAAAGCGUGGGGAGCAAACAGG